UACGUAGGGGGCAAGCGUUUGUCCGGAUUUAUUGGGCGUAAAGGGCGCGUAGGCGGCCACCGCAAGUCGCUGUGAAAUCUCCGGGCUUAACCCGGAAAGGUCAGCCGAUACUGCGGGGCUAGAGUGCAGAAGGGGGCAACUGGAAUUCUCGGUGUAGCGGUGAAAUGCGUAGAUAUCGAGAGGAACACCUGCGGCGAAGGCGGGUUGCUGGGCUGACACUGACGCUGAUGCGCGAAAGCUAGGGGAGCGAACGGG
rnacentral:rRNA from 1 species